UUCCUACGGGGGGCAGCAGUGGGGAAUAUUGCACAAUGGGGGAAACCCUGAUGCAGCGACGCCGCGUGAGUGAAGAAGUAUUUCGGUAUGUAAAGCUCUAUCAGCAGGGAAGAAAAAAGACGGUACCUGACUAAGAAGCCCCGGCUAACUACGUGCCAGCAGCCGCGGUAAUACGUAGGGGGCAAGCGUUAUCCGGAUUUACUGGGUGUAAAGGGAGCGUAGACGGCGCGGCAAGUCUGAAGUGAAAGACAGGGGCUUAACCCCUGAACUGCUUUGGAAACUGCCAUGCUAG
rnacentral:rRNA from 1 species